rnacentral:rRNA from 1 species
CGUGAGAUGUUGGGUUAAGUCCCGCAACGAGCGCAACCCUUGUCCUUUGUUGCCAGCGGGUAAAGCCGGGAACUCAAAGGAGACUGCCAGUGACAAACUGGAGGAAGGCAGGGAUGACGUCAAGUCAUCAUGGCCCUUACGGUCAGGGCUACACACGUGCUACAAUGGGGCGUACAGAGGGAAACGAUACCGCGAGGUGGAGUGGAACCCAAAAAGCGUCCCUAAGUUCGGAUUGGAGUCUGCAACUCGACUCCAUGAAGUCGAGUCGCUACGUAUACGU